AUCUUUGCGCUUGGGGCAAUGACGCAGCUAAUGAGGUUCUAACCGAGGCGCGUCUAUUGCUGGUUGAAAACUAUUUCCAAACCCCCUCUUAAGCCUUGGUUUAUCCUUGGCCUUCGAGAAUUUCUGGAAGGGCUCCCCCAAGGGGUAAAGCC
rfam:Medicago truncatula strain A17 chromosome 4, whole genome shotgun sequence.